rnacentral:rRNA from 1 species
UAGGGAAUCUUCGGCAAUGGACGAAAGUCUGACCGAGCAACGCCGCGUGAGUGAAGAAGGUUUUCGGAUCGUAAAACUCUGUUGUUAGAGAAGAACAAGGACGUUAGUAACUGAACGUCCCCUGACGGUAUCUAACCAGAAAGCCACGGCUAACUACGUGCCAGCAGCCGCGGUAAUACGUAUGUGGCAAGCGUUGUCCGGAUUUAUUGGGCGUAAAGCGAGCGCAGGCGGUUUCUUAAGUCUGAUGUGAAAGCCCCCGGCUCAACCGGGGAGGGUCAUUGGAAACUGGGAGAAUUGAGUGCAGAAGAGGAGAGUGGAAUUCCAUGUGUAGCGGUGAAAUGCGGAGAUAUAUGGAGGAACACCAGUGGCGAAGGCGGCUCUCUGGUCUGUAACUGACGCUGAGGCUAGAAAGGGUGGGGAGCAAACAGG